rnacentral:rRNA from 1 species
UGAAUACGAGACGCUAAGGCGUCGAAGUAGUGUAUGUCAUACUUCCAAGAAAAGCUUGCACUGUCAUAAGUAAAAAAUGCCUGUACCAUAACCGACACAGGUGGGUAGGUAGAGUAUACUAAGGGGCGCGAGAUAACUCUCUCUAAGGAACUCGGCAAAAUAACUCCGUAACUUCGGGAGAAGGAGUACCUUAUUCUAUAAGGUUGCAAUAACAAGAUCCAAGCAACUGUUUAUCAAAAACACAGGUCUCCGCUAAGUCGUAAGACGAUGUAUGGGGGCUGACGCCUGCCCAGUGCCAGAAGGUUAAAGAAGUCGGUUAGCAUUAGCGAAGCUGGUAACUGAAGCCCUGGUGAACGGCGGCCGUAACAAUAACGGUCCUAAGGUAGCGAAAUUCCUUGUCGGGUAAGUUCCGACCCGCACGAAAGGCGUAAUGAUUUGGAUACUGUCUCGGAGAGGGGCUCGGUGAAAUAGACUUGUCUGUGAAGAUGCGGACUACCUGCACCAGGACAGAAAGACCCUAUGAAGCUUUACUGUAACUUGAAAUUGAAAUUGGACUUUAUUCGCGCAGUAUAGGUGGGAGGUGUUGAUUAUAAUCUUGCGGGAUUAUUGGAGCCAUCAGUGAGAUACCACUCUUGUAAUGUUAGAUUUCUAACUUUGAAUCAUUAUCUGGUCAAAGGACAGUUUCAGGCGGGCAGUUUGACUGGGGCGGUCGCCUCCCAAACGGUAACGGAGGCGUACAAAGGUUUCCUCUGAACGGGUAGAAGUCGUAUCUAGAGUGUAAAGGCAUAAGGAAGCUUGACUGUGAGACCUACAAGUCGAACAGGGACGAAAGUCGGUCUUAGUGAUCUGACGGUACUGAGUGGAAAGGCCGUCACUCAACGGAUAAAAGUUACUCUAGGAUAACAGGCUGAUCUCCCCCAAGAGUUCACAUCGACGGGGAGGUUUGGCACCUCGAUGUCGGCUCAUCGCAUCCUGGGGCGGUAGUACGUCCCAAGGGUUGGGCUGUUCGCCCAUGAAAGCGGUACGCGAGCUGGGUUCAGAACGUCGUGAGACAGUUCGGUCCAUGUCCGGUGUAGGCGUUAGAAUAUUGAGAGGAGCCUUCUUUAGUACGAGAGGACCGAGAAGGACAUACCUCUGGUGUACCAGUUAUCGUGCCAACGGUAAACGCUGGGUAGCUAUGUAUGGAGUGGAUAACCGCUGAAAGCAUCUAAGUGGGAAGCCCACCUCAAGAUAAG